rnacentral:rRNA from 1 species
CCAUGCAAGUCGAGGGGCAUCACGGAAAAGCUUGCUUUUCUGGUGGCGACCGGCGCACGGGUGCGGAACGCGUAUGGAACCUGCCCCUGUCAGGGGAAUAGCCCAGGGAAACUUGGAUUAAUGCCCCAUGGUACCGCGAUAUCGCAUGAUAUUGCGGUUAAAGAUUUAUCGGACAGGGAUGGCCAUGCGUACCAUUAGUUAGUUGGUGGGGUAACGGCCCACCAAGGCAGCGAUGGUUAGGGGCCCUGAGAGGGGGAUCCCCCACACUGGUACUGAGACACGGACCAGACUCCUACGGGAGGCAGCAGUGAGGAAUAUUGGACAAUGGGCGGGAGCCUGAUCCAGCCAUGCCGCGUGCAGGAUGACGGCCCUAUGGGUUGUAAACUGCUUUUAUACGGGAAGAAAUGCGCCCACGUGUGGGCGUCUGACGGUACCGUAAGAAUAAGGACCGGCUAACUCCGUGCCAGCAGCCGCGGUAAUACGGAGGGUCCGAGCGUUAUCCGGAAUCAUUGGGUUUAAAGGGUCCGUAGGCGGGCCUGUAAGUCAGGGGUGAAAGUUUGUGGCUCAACCAUAAAAUUGCCUUUGAUACUGCAGGUCUUGAGUCAUGGUGGGGUCGCCGGAACAUGUGGUGUAGCGGUGAAAUGCAUAGAUAUCACAUAGAACACCGAUCGCGAAGGCAGGUGGCCAACCAUGUACUGACGCUGAUGGACGAAAGCGUGGGUAGCGAACGGGAUUAGAUACCCCGGUAGUCCACGCCGUAAACGAUGGAUACUAGCUGUGGGGACUUCGGUCUCCGUGGC